rnacentral:rRNA from 1 species
CCCUUCAGAGGGGGACAACAGUUGGAAACGACUGCUAAUACCGCAUACGAUCCAAUCUCGGCAUCGAGACUGGAUGAAAGGUGGCCUCUAUCUAUAAGCUAUCACUGAAGGAGGGGAUUGCGUCUGAUUAGCUAGUUGGAGGGGUAACGGCCCACCAAGGCGAUGAUCAGUAGCCGGUCUGAGAGGAUGAACGGCCACAUUGGGACUGAGACACGGCCCAG